AGGUUAGGCAUGCCCAGCCGUCACCUUGACAUGGUGGGGGUCGUUGGUUCGAGUCCAAUCGUGCCUACCA
rnacentral:tRNA from 1 species